UAAAAAAGAAAGACGUGUUUGGUGUUUUGCCGACCGGAUCCAGCAAAAGUUUAAUCUAUCAACUAGCUCCGCUAGCAUCUUUGUUGCUCUGGUUGGUAGAUGCGCUAUCCUAUUUCGGCAGAGGGGAUUUGAAAGACAACUGUUUAAUCCCCCCCCCACUCGGAUUGAACCCUGCCAAUGGUGUGUUAGCAGACCCAAC